rnacentral:rRNA from 1 species
UACGGGAGGCAGCAGUGAGGAACAUUGGUCAAUGGACGCGAGUCUGAACCAGCCAUCCCGCGUGCAGGAUGACGGCCCUAUGGGUUGUAAACUGCUUUUUUACGCCAAGAAACCUGGUUACGUGUAACCAGCUGACGGUAGCGUAGGAAUAAGCAUCGGCUAACUCCGUGCCAGCAGCCGCGGUAAUAC